rnacentral:lncRNA from 10 species
CUCCUGGGUACACCAGCCAGCCCACGGCACAGAGCCUGCCUGUUGGUCUCUACCCACAGGGGAUCCCCUGCUGCUCCACCAUCAGAUUUGGGACACCACCCCCCCCCCGGCCCCACCAGAGGGCAUCAGCUAUGCCUAGCAAUUACGCCCCCGUGGCUAAAUUAAACUCCCAUUGGCUAAAUUAGGCUCGAAGAGAGGGGCACCUGCUGCUAAGCUGUGUAUGUUGUCCCCUAGGACUCCCACCGUUUGCUGAGCUCCACAUGACAACAGCAGACGACAGGCCGCACUGAUCCCACCUGGCUUACAGGUGCUGUCACACAGGUACGCCUUCUUGUGAAUCAUCAGUCACCAUUUGCCCCUCGCAGCAACCCUGUCUUGGAGGAAGGUCCUUGCCGACACCCGCCUCUCCCCACCCUUAGGCUCCCUUGCUCCUUCAUUCAACCAUUGUUUACAUGUCGUUCAGGACUGCUGACUAAACACUUUCAAGCACAGUGGACCCUUGAACAACGCAGGUUCAAACUGUGCAGGUCCACCCACAGGGAUGUUUUUCAAUCAGAGUUAUACCAAGUGUCCCUGCCUCUCCUGCCUCCCUUCCCACUUCCUCCAUG